GAAAAAAUAAAAAAAAAAAAAAUAUUGAAAAAAUGAUAAAUUUUGAUGUGUUUUUGUGUGUUGCGUGUGUUUCGAAUUUAUUCCUUUUUUC
rnacentral:ribozyme from 1 species